GGGUGCCAGGAGCCAGGCCUCCGCGGGGAAGCGGGAUUCUGCCCGGUUCCAAACCGUGUUUGACCCCAGGGCGCCUGUAUUGCCCCUGAAGGCCAGGCUGGAGGAAAGACGACUACCUUGGGAGAGCGGGGGGCCUGGGGAAAAGUUUCAACCCAUCCAGUGAAGGUAUCUACAAAUACCAAGAUGUAUUUGAAACCCCAGGGACCAGGGACAUGACAGCAAAAGAGUUAGCUCUUUUGGAUCUUGUCCUAAAGAGAGUGGGGAGAUUUUGAAUUCCUCGGAAGGACUAGUGUCCCAUCCUGUGACCAAAUUAAUGAUGUACAUUUGCUUCUUGGUAAGUUGCAGAUAUGGACUACACUAGAUGGAGUUGUCACACAAAGGAAACUUUAUUUGCAGCAACUAAGGAGAUCAAGGGGAAUAACUUCCAAAGCCAUGACUCUCCAAGAAGGGUUGAACCAAUUCUUUUAACUUGGGGGUUUGAGAUGAAUAUUCAGAGGGGGAGUUUCAUCACUGCAUAUAAAAGGCAAACAUAGGUUUGUGCAUGUGCACUUAGAAAACAUACCUAUAUAUGCACCAUAGGUUAUGUUAACGAAGCUUAUGUUCCUGCCCCAGGGCAGAGAUCCUAACGUUAUAAUGAAGUUGAGGUGACUGUCCAGCACUUUAUGGCUCAGCUGUGCAGGCGUCCCCCUGGUGGUUGAGCUCGAAUUUGUCUAGGCCAGUUGGAGUUUUCUUUCUUUUCCUGUUCCAGAAAUUUGUUAGUUUCAAAAAGAUGAAAUCGAUAGUUAAAUAGAUCUAAGGCUCAUAGGUCAUUAGGCAGAAUUCUUUGCAGCCAAAGUGCUUAUUCUCUGACUUUAUGCAGGUAGGUAUUUAUUUCCCCAGAGGAAUUUAUCCACGUGUAGCAGGCGGUAUUCACUCUUGUCCAGACUCCUCCUUGUUCAGCUAGUAGAUAAUCAAGGGCUGUGCCAUUAUCCAAAAUUACUGUAGCCAAAGAGUCCAGUGAUCAUUGUUGGGCUGUUAGUGCUUUGGUUGUGGGGCCAGCUAGCUCUCCUAAUGUUUGGGAAAGAUUCCCGAUCUUGCAUUGGUUGGCAUUUCCUCCAAUGUAUGGGAGAAAGUCUCUGCCCAGGGAGGAAAACCAGAGUCAUAUAUGUGUCCUGGAAGUUCCCAUGUAGCGGCCAUGGAGGCUCAAUGGAGUGGACAGGAGGGGAGGCUUCUGAUUUGGUAUGCAUAUUAACAGGGACAGUGAAAUGUUCCAGUGAGCAUUGACCUCCAAGUGGCCAGCUGCCAACAUUCAUAUGCCCCUGAGAAGUGCUGUCCAGAACAAACACAAAUGGAACCAGGUGGAGCCUCGGGGACGCCAGCUCAGGUCUGGUUAUUGAUAGAUUCACUAGCCGAAUGUCCUGACUGACCCUUUCAAGUUAUGGCUCAGAAAGUUUGAGGUAACAUUCUGUGAGAGAUUAUUCCCUCCUAAAGGGAUUUUUUUUCUAAAAACCUCACAGGGGAGUCUAGACCUGGUUUUUUCCCCCUGGGUGCAGGGAAACAGAUUGUAUUUAGGUAAGGAAAGGAUGCGGGGAGUGAGGGAAGGGGGGCUGACAGAGGCUGAGGUGUUUACCUGAGCUGGCACGGUUACAACUGGGGAAAGGCUGAAACCAGCAUGGGAACACCUGGCCGUAACAACCUAACCCGACAGGUAACCUCCAUGGGCUUACAGGUAAGUCAGCAGUGGGCCUAGGGACUGAAGAGAAAAUAAUUACAGGUAAGGCCAAGGGGCCUCUGACAUCAUAAACAGAUUGGAAUUUCUGGCAACCGAUCCAACAUUCAGAGGUUUCUGCCUUUUGCACUAGACAGAGAAAUGUGGAGAAGAGCAUUGCGUUUUCAAGAGUAAGGGGGGUGGGGGGGGGGGAAAUAACAAAGUAAGAAGCGGUGGGGAGAAAAAGGUAUACUGGCUUGGCCUGGCCAUCUUGGGAAAGCUGUCUCCUUCAGCUGUCAUUGGCUUCAAUUCCUAGAAAUCUUUACGUUCAGGUCACCAGUUGGGGUACAGGUCCAGCCAGGGUUUGGUGCUGUCUUUAGAUGUGACACAUGAACCCAAGAGUCUGAAGUUUGGUGGCACAAGCAUUGGUUGACAGUAGCUGCUAUGGGUCUUCCCAGUGGAGCUGAAGAGUGUCUUUGCGGAGAUGUCUUUUCCAGUAGAUGAAGUCCCCAGGUUGCAAGGAUUGUGGGUGAUCAUCUCCCAUGCUUGGAUCCUCGGUCUCAGGCCACAGUGUUUGGCAGAAAUCAGUAGUUUUUCAGAAUAUUGGAAGGUGCCCACCACUGGCACUAGUGUAUUUUUGUCACUUCAAAGCACCUGUGGACGGUCCUUUGCUUUCCUUAGGGUCUGCUUUUCCACAGACCCUUUCCUCUGCUGCUUUAUUGCCACUUACAUUAAAUACAGUAUAUGACAAUAGUUUA